AUAGAUUGAAAUUCAUACCAGAGGACUGACUGACUUCAUCACACAAACAGUCUGGAGAAACUGUCCUGCAGCAAAAGCCUGGGGCCCCGGAGCUCACCUCCUCUACUCUCCUUUCUGAAAACCUCACCGAGUGCAGCUGCUUCUCAAGGCUGCAGCACUUCAGACGCUGCUCCUUAAGCUGCUUGUUCAGCUCAUCUCCAUUGGCCAUCAAGGCAUCAUGGCUGAUCCUGAGUGUUCUUUGCUUCUGCAAAACAGAGAGAAAACUUAAGCAUUUUUAACAUCAGACUCUGAAAAGUUCAUUACAAGUCUAUCCAUGGCUUUACCCUGGACAUUUACAUUGCACAAUUUAUUUUUCAAGUAAUAAACAACAUACGUGUGAUACAAAGAACGAGAAGGUCACUUGGCCAUCACACAAUGCAAAUGGUCUCCCCUUUUAUUUGCCCUUAGGUUUUGACUAGUUGACAGUAACCAGUAAGUCAAAUGGUUUCAGUAAUUUUUUUCCCCUUUUUACUAUGGCUAUAGCGGUUGGGCAUGCUGUCUAAAAAAUGUUUCAGUAUGGGUCAAAAACUGCUGAUCACAGAUAUGGAAAUGGGAAGGAUUUGCCAUCAGAGAAUAAAUAAACAACACUGACUGACAUAGGAACACAUCUGCGGGAGGACGAUGUUCUAACAGAGAGAACGAUGCACGGUAAAACACUCAGACGGACUCUGACAGAUGUACAACAAUUUCUAUGAGCUACAUUAUGCAUGGCUGACUGCUAGUGUGACUGGUAUCUGAAGCACACAAAAGAAAACAUUUCCAAUCUGUAUCAUAUUUUUCACUGGGAGUGUUCUAAGGCGCUGAUGAACUAGAAAAAGGAAGAUGGAUGUGGCAGAAGGAUUGUUUCUGAGACCAUGACAUGAUGAAGAAUUCAAGUCUCAAAAAAGCACAGGAAAGCCAGAGCUGAAGUCCAUGUAUCAAAUACUCCCAAACAUUCCAGCCAUUCCUCUUAAUGC
rnacentral:lncRNA from 1 species